CGAGAGGACCGGAGUGGACGAACCUCUGGUGUUCGGGUUGUGUCGCCAGACGCAUUGCCCGGUAGCUAAGUUCGGAAUCGAUAACCGCUGAAAGCAUCUAAGCGGGAAGCGAGCCUCAAGAUGAGUCAUCCCUGAUACUUUAAGUAUCCUAAAGGGUUGUUGGAGACUACGACGUAGAUAGGCAGGGUGUGUAAGCGCUGUGAGGCGUUGAGCUAACCUGUACUAAUUGCCCGUGAGGCUUAACCAUACAACACCCAAGGGGUUU
rnacentral:rRNA from 1 species